UACGAAGGGGGCUAGCGUUGCUCGGAAUCACUGGGCGUAAAGCGCACGUAGGCGGAUUGCUAAGUCAGGGGUGAAAUCCUGGAGCUCAACUCCAGAACUGCCUUUGAUACUGGCGAUCUUGAGUCCGGGAGAGGUGAGUGGAACUCCGAGUGUAGAGGUGAAAUUCGUAGAUAUUCGGAAGAACACCGGUGGCGAAGGCGGCCCACUGGAUCGGUACUGACGCUGAGGUGCGAAAGCGUGGGGAGCAAACAGG
rnacentral:rRNA from 1 species